rnacentral:tRNA from 1 species
UCCCCCGUGGCCCAAAAGGACGGGCAGCGGCCUUCUAAGCCGCCUGAUGCGGGUUCGAGCCCCGCCGGGGGAG